CGCAUUACAAGCAAUCUAAAGGCUCCUUUGAUUUUUUUUGAAAUUUAUAAAACAUAAGAGGGGCCGAAGUGGGGUGAAAACUAGCAUCUCCUCAAAACAAACAAAACCCCGACGUGAUAUUUCUUUCUUGCUUCUCGUCUUGCCGCAAAUCUUUCAUUCGUUGUUCAUCGCUCUUUUGCUGCUGCAGAAUAGGCACUAAACUCAUGUACACACCGCACACCGGCUCGAGUGCGCGCAUCUCUCUAACGAUCUUAUCGUGUUAUUUAGCAGAUCGGCUAAUAUAAUCAAGCUGUUUGGUGCAUACAAGCAUAACCGUUUGCUUAGAAAAGAAGCCGUCGAGCAGAUACCUAUAUACUUACAUACAUACAUAUGAAUGUGAAUGCAAGUGCCGCCUUAAUUGAUCUCGCUACAUACACAUACACAAGCCGCUGCACACAUAAGACGGUAAUCGCAUUCUCGCACUGCUCACUCUGUGAUAUUCGCAGUGGUCAAGGGCAUAGCUCUUCUCUAUAAGUGAAUUUUUGUGACAGGCCGGAGUACAGUGAGCAAUCAACAAAACGUACCAACCGAACAUUACCUCGUCAACAACAGAAUGGAAAAUUCGACAAGUGAAAAAGACUUUUGUAAAGCCAAAUGCGCUUCUGUUCAACGCCAAUUAUUAGCAAUGAACGAAUUCUUCAGCCGAUCCGAUGGUGCGUAAAGAAUCUGCGGAGAGCAUGAAGGCCGAGUUUGAUAUCAGCCAGUCAAGGCUACAAAAAUCUAGUAGUAAAGCAGCUCCAACUCAAAAUUCAUCAUGCUGCCGUAUCAGUAUCUGGUAUAGGCGAAUCAACCCUAUCUUCUAACAUGUCCACUGACAUAUCAGCGCAGUCACGUGACAGGAGCUUCAGCACAUCAUUUUCAGCAGCCGUUACUCGCAGUAUAACGGAUUAUCAACCCCACUUUGGGUUAGGCAUCUCUGGGUGGAAUAUCCCCAAAAACUAAUUCGCUCGCGGAUCCAACGUUUUUCACGUAUCAAAGAAUAGAUUUAUUACUUGGUGCCGGACUAUUUUUCGAUCUCAUUUGCAUCGGCCAAAUUCGAAUGGCGGAUAACCUACCAACGCUCUAAAAGACCAAGCUCGGAUGGAUUGCGUCUGGCGGGCUCUCUCGCGUACACAACAAACACACAUCCCUUUCAGCCCUUUACAAGGAACCUAAUCCAUGGGAGAAUCCACUGUCAGAUAUUGUAAAACGAUUCUGGGAAGUCGACAAUUGCUGCGGUACAGCCCCUGCGCUCUCUGAUGAAGACGCUAUUUCUGCAAGGCUCCACGCGACUAAAGUCACUGCCCAGUUAGGCUUCCAGCAAAGCUCAGCUUCGACACGCUAGGAGACUCAUAUCAACGUGCUCUAUGACGUUUCUAGUCGCUCGAAAACAAAUUGGACAUAAAUCACUAGCUGAAGGAGAGCCACUCUGCAUUCAUGUGCGAAUACAUCGACUUGGGCCAAAUGUCUUUGGCUUCCAAGCAGCAGCUUGUCCCACAAUUAUAUUUACCCCACCACUGCGUAGAAAAGAUAUAUGAGAUCAUACCUGACCAGAAUCUCAACCACCAUAUUGCGCGUCGUUUUUGAUGGAUCAGCCAAAUCCACAUCAGGCGCAUCUCUGAAUGAUCUUUUGCAUACAGGCCAAUAGGCAAUUCAACCCAAAUUAUUCAACAUUCUAAUUCAUUUUCGUUUUUUAAAGGUUGCCAUGUGCGGUGACAUCUGUAGGAUGUACAGCUGUGUCCGAAUAACGCAUCCAGAUCAAUUUCUGUAAUGCAUCUUAUGGCGUGAAAAAAAUGAAAGCGGACGUACACCCUGGAUACAGUAACGUAUGGAACCAAACCCGCUGCGUUUCUAGCAAUUCGAGCGAUGCAGCAGCUGGCCCACGAUGAAGAGCCUACCUUUCCACUAGCUGCAAAGAUAUUUUGUCUCGACUUCUACGUAGACAAUUUAAUUUCUGGAGGGUGCUCUGCAGAAGAAGCCAUUCAGAUCCGACAGCAAGUAUAACUGCUACUGUCUAAAGGUCGCUUUCUAAUCAGAAAGUGGUACUCAAACGAGCCAGAUGCAUUAAAAGUAGAAAGCGAAUCCGAUUGUGAGAAGCUAAUGGAGUUCAAGGAUGGCACCAACAUUGCAAAGGCGCUUGCUUUAGCUUGCAGCCCUAUCUCUGAUAGCCUGCUUUUCAACUUUGCGGAGAUCGUACCCGAAGGAUCAGUCACAAAGCGGAGCAUAUUAUCCAUGAUAGCGAGAUUUUACGAUCCGCUCGGAUUGAUCGCGCCCAUCGUUACCAGGUUAAAGGUAUUUCUCCAAGCACUGUGGAAGGAAAGGGUCAAUUGGGACGAAUGCCUGUCGCAGUCGCUGUACCUCGAAUGGAUCAAACUCAUAUCGCAACUCUCAUUUGUCAGCAGCUUGAAAUUCUCCCGUUUUGUAUUGAUACCGCUGGCUACGUAUAAGCUGCAUGGAUUUUGCGACGCCAGCACAGCCGCUUAUGGUGCUUGCGAAUUUGUCAGAUCCGAAAUGAAAGGGGUAUAAAUCAAGGGUCGCUCCAUUAAAGACGCGGACAAUCCCAAAGCUUGAGGUGGCAGCUGCACUUUUAUUAUCAGAGCUCAUAGGAAACAUUGCCAAGUGCAAUCAGUUCGAAUUCAGAUAUCAUUGCUGGACCGACUCAACAGUAGCGCUUGCAUGGAUUCGUGAUUCACCUUCAAAGUUUAACGUCUUUGUAGCCAACAGGGUAUUACAAAUACAGGAGCGGUCAAAGGGUAUGACCGGGCAUCAUGUGCCCUCUCAGCUGAACCGUGCGGACAUUUUAUCACGUGGCAUAAUGCAUAAUGCACAGCUAUGGCAUAAUGGACCCCCAUUCUUACAGGCCGCCUAUCCCUUUAAGCUUCCAGAACAACGCCAAAAAGUGCUGGUACUAUCAACGAAGACGGACCUAUCGGCAUCUUGUAAAUGCAACAACACAUUUGCCAAGUUACAGCGCACUUUCGCAUAUGUGUAUCGAUUUAUAGCGCUAGAAAGAUCUGAUUCGACGAGAUCAAAAGGUCCACUCACUCCAGAUGAUAUCAAGUGCGGAACGCAUUUACUUAUAAAAAACAUUCAACUUACGCACUUCGCCGAAGGCCGCUUCCAACAAGAAGCAAACUUCGUUCAUUGCGCCCACUGUUGGACGCUGAGGAACUCUUGCGCAUCGGCGGGCGCCUUCAGAACUCAAACUUGGAAUAUGAAGCAAGGCAUCCGUUAUUGUUGCCUAAACGCCGCCCAGUCACCGCAGGUAUGAUCACAUAUCAUUUGGUCCGCAAUUCCUUCUAGCAACACUCCGCCAGCGAUACUGGCCCAUCGGAGGUCUCAAGGCUGUCUCAAAUAUCAACAGGUGCGUGCGCUGCGACCUAAAGUCAUGGCCCCGCUACCAGCUGAGCGUGUGCAGCCAAGCCGACGUUUCACGUAACUGGCAUCGACUUUUGCGGUCCUUUCUAAUCAGAGGACCUGUCCACGUCAUCGUUUAUCGCUGCCUUGAAGAGAUUCAUCAGCCUUCGAGGGAAACCGCAUACAAAAUGGACAGACAACUCCACAAAUUUCGUGGGUGCUCGUAAUGAGGUGAAGGAACUGCGCGACCUGUUUAUAAGCGAUCCCCAGCGGAAUGAUUGUUCGCAACUGCCUAGCUCUGGGAAUUAACUGAAAACCCGAAUGACUUGGAGAUACUCACGCCUGGGCACUUCAUCUGGGGCAAAGCCAAUGCAACUAUCGACGAGCCAGACAUAACUCACCUAAGCAUAGGUCGCCUCAGCCGUUGGCAGCGAAUAUGUCACAUGCUGCUCAAGGAGGACAAUGCACCACCACUCAGGUGGUCGCUUGGUCGAGUCGACGGCAUCAACACGGGUGACCACGGCAUUCUGAGAGUAGCAGUCAUUCGUACACAAGAGAGCCAUUGCCAACAUCGCCGCUCUGCCAGUCGAGACCACAUCGGUUGAAAGCUUGUAUCUUCCAAUGGGGCGAGCAUGUUCGUAGCGGAUCGCCCUCUGAAUAAUAUUAUAUCUGAAUUACAACAUAUCUUCACUUCUCAAAUCACGAUAUUAAAGUCACAUACUAUUAUUUUUAUACCACCAUAAAAUACCUUUGUAAAUUGCUCAUCACUAAUCUAUCGAUAGUUAUUGUUGAAAGUU